rnacentral:ncRNA from 1 species
UUAAAGUUUGAUUUUAGCUAAAAAUUUAUUUAAUUUAUGAAUUAUAUGAAAAUUAUUGUGGGAGUAUUUAUAAAUUUUAAAAAUUUAUUAUUAUUUAAUCUCAGUAUAAAAAAUUAAUAAAUGAAAGAAAUUUUGAAUUAGUAAUAAAUUUUAUUAUAGGAUAAAUUUGUGCCAGCAUCUGCGGUUAUACAAAUUAUAAAAGUAAAUUUUAUUAGUAAUUAGUUAAAUUAAUUUUUUGAAAUUAAAUUUUAAUUUUUAGGUAAAAUUUUAAUUUAUAUUUAAUUUUAAUUAUAAAUAUAUUGAAACUAAUAAAUUUUAAAUAUAAACUAGGAUUAGAUACCCUAUUAUUUAAAAUAAAUUUUAAUUUACUAAGGUAGUAUUAGUUAAAGGCUUUAAACUUAAAAAAUUUGGCGGUAUUUUAGUCUAUUUAGAGGAACUUGUUCCGUAAUUGAUAGUCCACGAUUAAUUUUACUAAUUUUUGUAUAAUUUGUAUAUCGUCGUUAUAAGAAUAUUUUUUUAGAAUUAUAAUAUUUUAGUAAUUUAAUAAAAUUAUAUUUCAGAUCAAGAUGCAGUUAAUGAAUUAGUGGAAAUGAGUUACAAUAAAUUAAUUUAUAUGAAUAAAUUAUUGAAAUAUAAAAUUGAAGGUGGAUUUAAUAGUAAAAUUAAUUAUUUAAUUAAUUUGAUUAUAGCUCUAAAAUAUGUACAUAUCGCCCGUCGCUCUUUUUAUUUUUAAAAAAGAUAAGUCGUAACAUAGUAGAUGUACUGGAAAGUGUAUCUAGAAUGAC